UUGGGAUAUAGCUCAGUGGUAGAGCCCAUGCUUAGCAUAGCAAGGGCCCUGGGUUCAAUUCCCAGCCAAA
rnacentral:tRNA from 1 species